GACGAACGCUGGCGGCGUGCUUAACACAUGCAAGUCGAACGGAAAGGCCCUGCUUUUGUGGGGUGCUCGAGUGGCGAACGGGUGAGUAACACGUGAGUAACCUGCCCUUGACUUUGGGAUAACUUCAGGAAACUGGGGCUAAUACCGGAUAGGAGCUCCUGCUGCAUGGUGGGGGUUGGAAAGUUUCGGCGGCUGGGGAUGGACUCGCGGCUUAUCAGCUUGUUGGUGGGGUAGUGGCUUACCAAGGCUUUGACGGGUAGCCGGCCUGAGAGGGUGACCGGCCACAUUGGGACUGAGAUACGGCCCGGACUCCUACGGGAGGCAGCAGUGGGGAAUAUUGCACAAUGGGCGGAAGCCUGAUGCAGCAACGCCGCGUGCGGGAUGACGGCCUUCGGGUUGUAAACCGCUUUCGCCUGUGACGAAGCGUGAGUGACGGUAAUGGGUAAAGAAGCACCGGCUAACUACGUG
rnacentral:rRNA from 1 species